rnacentral:rRNA from 1 species
GACGAACGCUGGCGGCGCGCUUAACACAUGCAAGUCGAGCGAGAACCAGGGCUUCGGCCCUGGGGACAGCGGCGAACGGGUGAGUAACACGUGGAUAACCUGCCCUCGGCACCGGGAUAGCCCGGGGAAACCCGGAUUAAUACCGGAUGGCCCUUCCGGCUCACGAGCCGGUCGGAAAAGGUAGCUUCGGCCUCCGGCCGGGGGCGGGUCCGCGGCGGAUUAGCUUGUUGGUGGGGUAAUGGCCUACCAAGGCUCCGAUCCGUAGCUGGUCUGGGAGGACGAUCAGCCACACUGGGAAUGAGACACGGCCCAGACUCCUACGGGAGGCAGCAGUGGGGAAUCUUGCGCAAUGGGCGAAAGCCUGACGCAGCGACGCCGCGUGAGGGAGGAAGGCCUUCGGGUUGUAAACCUCUUUCAGGAGGGACGAAGCUACUCGGGUGAAUAGCCCAGAGGGUGACGGUACCUCCAGAAGAAGCCCCGGCUAACUACGUGCCAGCAGCCGCCGUAAAAC